UACGAAGGGGGCUAGCGUUGCUCGGAAUCACUGGGCGUAAAGCGCACGUAGGCGGAUUGUUAAGUCAGGGGUGAAAUCCUGGAGCUCAACUCCAGAACUGCCUUUGAUACUGGCGAUCUUGAGUCCGGGAGAGGUGAGUGGAACUCCGAGUGUAGAGGUGAAAUUCGUAGAUAUUCGCAAGAACACCAGUGGCGAAGGCGGCUCACUGGUCCGGUUCUGACGCUGAGGCGCGAAAGCGUGGGGAGUAAACAGG
rnacentral:rRNA from 1 species